rnacentral:rRNA from 1 species
UAAGGAAUAUUGCUCAAUGGGAGAAAUCCUGAAGCAGCAACGCCGCGUGGAGGAUGAAGGGUCUAUGACUUGUAAACUCCUGUAAAGAAGGAAAAAAUUCCCAUUUGAUGGGAGAUGAUGGUACUUCUGGAGUAAGCCCCGGCUAACUACGUGCCAGCAGCCGCGGUAAUACGUAGGGGGCAAGCGUUGUCCGGAUUUACUGGGUGUAAAGGGUGCUCAGGCGGAUUUGUAAGUCAGAGGUGAAAUCUUACAGCUUAACUGUGAAACUGCCUUUGAUACUGCAAGCCUAGAGUAUGGAAGAGAGUGAUGGAAUAUCUGGUGUAGCAGUGAAAUGCGUAGAUAUCAGAUAGAACACCAAUGGCGAAGGCAGUCACUUGGUCCAUUACUGACGCUAAAGCACGAAAGCGUGGGUAGUAAACA